UCUGAUGUCAACAAGGAACCCUCUGGGUAGGCUUUUGAGAAGUUGCUAAGGAUCUUCUUACUGCCAAAUGACUGUAACUUCAUCCCAAUGGGAUUUGCAAUAGAGCUCAUCCAUGCAGCAGUAAAGCCAAACUGUAAUCAUCUUUGUAGCAUAUUGUUCUGGGAUCAGCACCUUUGGGGAUACAUUAGUACGGCGAUUGACGGAAAGAAGCUGAAGAGGGAAACCAAAGUGAACCCAGCCAAGGCAAGAUAAGCUUCUCUCUCAGCCAUGCUGGCAGAUUUCUUUUGCCUUCUUUCCUACACUCCUUCAGCAAUUCAGGCACAGACUGAGAUUAUUCAGCUCCAAAAUGGCAAGAUGUCCAGAACUGUGGAACUGUGGAAACCUACCAGGAAUAUUGCAUUGCAAGGAAGAUCUUGCUGGCUGAAGUCCCUCUCCAUUGUGGACAGUCAGAUCAGCUUUCCUCAUAAACAACAGCAAUAGUUUUCUCCAUGAUAUUUGAGAAGAAGGUUGGAAGACCUAGAGGGCAUCACAGUGCCUUAAACCGUGUCUUGGUAACUGUUGGAGCUUAAUGCAAGAGUGAAAAUGACCAUGCUGCAUUCUGUUCAAUGCUAGUGGCUAACAGUUAAGCUGGAGUAUGUUGCGUAAUGGAGAUUACCUGACACUGUA